rnacentral:ribozyme from 1 species
AUUAUGUUUUAUAUUCUUAAUUAAAAAAGAAAGCAAGCAAAAGGUUAAAAGCAGGAUUCGUUGAUCGAUUUCGUUUC